rnacentral:rRNA from 1 species
AACGAACGCUGGCGGCAGGCUUAACACAUGCAAGUCGAACGCCCCGCAAGGGGAGUGGCAGACGGGUGAGUAACGCGUGGGAAUCUACCUGGUACUACGGAACAACACAGGGAAACUUGUGCUAAUACCGUAUACGCCCUACGGGGGAAAGAUUUAUCGGUAUCAGAUGAGCCCGCGUUGGAUUAGCUAGUUGUUGAGGUAAUGGCUCACCAAGGCGACGAUCCAUAGCUGGGCUGAGAGGAUGAUCAGCCACACUGGGACUGAGACACGGCCCAGACUCCUACGGGAGGCAGCAGUGGGGAAUAUUGGACAAUGGGCGAAAGCCUGAUCCAGCCAUGCCGCGUGAGUGAUGAAGGCCUUAGGGUUGUAAAGCUCUUUCAGUGGGGAAGAUAAUGACGGUACCCACAGAAGAAGCCCCGGCUAACUUCGUGCCAGCCGCCGCGGUAAUAC